rnacentral:lncRNA from 1 species
AUUUCUUUAUGAGGAAACUCAAGACAGGUUGCUGAAACCUUGCUGAGCCAACUGGAAGGGUGUUUGAAGUCUUGGCCACUACCUAUUUAUUCCUUGCUAUUGAGUAUCUCACGUAUGAGUCUUCUACCAAUUCAGUGACAUACAAAGUACACCAAAUUUCAGAAAGAAAGAUUUUUCUGUGUGCCAUAAAUCUUGUGAUAAUAUUUGUCAUUAGCUCAAGCACUGAUCCAUAGUUCAAAGGAAAUUUACACUUCAACUGAGUAAGACAGGUUUUUAUCUUCUUAAAUCAUGGUAUCAGAGGCUGGAAGAAAAAUAGGCAAAAAAAAAAGUAAGGUUGAAUUACCUUGUUUAUUCAGCUCUCUCACAUCUUCCCAAGAACUCAACAGUGACAGUGGGCCUGAAGGAUCAGUAAGUAUUUAUAGGAGGCAUCUCUUGUGGUGGCUCCACAUUGCAGGGUUCCCGUCUUGAAGGAGCCACUCCAUGCGCAGAUCUGUGCUCUGUUUGUGCUCUCUCUCCACCCUGACAGCCAUCUCCAUGUUAGGAAAGAGUCUCCUGGACCAUGGCUCACUGGCACAGGCCUUUCAUCUUACCUAAGGGAGGUGAGCUGGGAACCAGUUCCUCCUCCAAAGCUGUGGAAAACCAAGAAGCCCUGAAGACCUGUGCACUGGUCAGCCAGUUUCUGAAUUUGGUUCAAGACAAGGUCAGUGAUCUCCCUGCCAAUGGUGUAGUGCUCUCCGGCAGAGUUAUUGGCAGCAUCUUCCUUGCCUGUGAUGAACUAGCUGCUCGGGGUAGAAGAGCUGGCGGUAGGUGCCAGUGAGAACUUCAUCAAUGGCAAUGGGUUCCAGGUCUACAAACACUGCCCUGGGCACAUCCUUCCCAGAACCUGUCUCACUGAAGAAGAUGUCGAAGGAGUCAUCUCCUCUCCCAAUGGUCUUGUCUCUUGGCGUCUGGCCAUUGGGCUGAAUGCCAUGUUCCAGGCAAUAGAGCUCCCAGCAGACAUUGCCAAUCUGGAUAGUAGCCCAGCCAACAUGGAUGGAGAUGCAUUCAUGCAUGGUUGCUGCUUUGUGGCUGCCAAGCAGAUGGCAGAGAGGAAGAGAAGAGGUUGUUGCUUCUUACAGUAUGACUCUUAGGUGGUUAUUAGGUGGUCAAUGUAAGAGAAACUGCCAGGUACCAGCAUCUUAAAAGGACCUAACUGUCUUCUAGACAUUUCUCCUUUGGUGUUCCAUAAGCCCCUGAACUCAACAUGUCCAAAUAAAACUGAGCAUUUUCUUCCCACCUGCCUUGCCUAUCUCAGUGAUUGGUACCUCCAUUCCCUAGCCAGAAAUUAGAUGCCACCCUCACUCACCCAUAACUUCAACCUCCAUUAGGGUGACCAAUUCAUCCCCAUUUUCCUAGAGCUUUCUUGGUGUUAGUACGAAAUCCCCAUAGUUUCAUGAAAACUUGAAUGGCUUGCCUGGAGCUGUCUUACCUUUAAAACUGGAAGUCUCAUGUCUUGGGAACCUUGUUAGUCCUGGGCAAACUGUGAGGUUGAUAAUCUUUUACUUACAUCCUAUCAAUCAUCAAGACCUAUUGAUUCUAGCUUUUUAAUGUGUCUAGAUUGUCCAGUUCUCCCCAUCUCCACUCUAUGCUGGUUACUCUAAUUUUUUUUUUUUUUAUUUAUUUAUGAUAGUCACAGAGAGAGAGAGAGAGGCAGAGACAUAGGCAGAGGGAGAAGCAGGCUCCAUGCACCGGGAGCCGAUGUGGGAUUCGAUCCCGGGUCUCCAGGAUCGCGCCCUGGGCCAAAGGCAGGCGCCAAACCGCUGCGCCACCCAGGGAUCCCUAUGCUGGUUACUCUAACCAGCAUAGAUCAUUAACAUGUCUUGCCUCAACAGCUGCAAUGCUUUGCAACUUUCCUUUGCCUCUACCAUUGCUUCCUCCAACCCAUUCUCUGAAUUGCUGCUAGAGUCAUCUUACUAAAUUAUAAUCCUGAUCAUAUUAUUUUUCUCCUUAAGUAUUUGAAAUUUAUUUGCCCUAAGAUAAGGGGCAUAUAUAUAUAUUUUUAAGUAGGCUUCAUGCUCAGCAUGGAACCCAAUACGAGGCCUGAACUCACAACCCUGAGAUCAAGACCUGAGCUAAGAUCAAGAGUUGGAUGCUUAACUGGCUGAGCCACCCAGGUAUUCCAAGGGUUAUACAUUUUAAAAUGACUCACACAACCUCUCGUGAAAUCAUUCUACUUAUUCUUCAAGGCUCAUCCCUCUUACAUUUUCCUCUGGGCUUAUAAGCCCAGAUGCCAGCUGUCUCCUCUACAAAAGCAACCUUUGUUUAAUUUUACACCCACAUGGACAUAGAACUUUUGCAUAUCUUCACAUUAUCUUAAGUCCACUUCUACAAAAGUCUUGGUAAGAAACACAGAAUUCACAGAGAAGAUGAAAGGGAUCUUCUAGCAUGUAUGGUAUAGUAACAAACCCCCAAUUCAAAAUUUGACAUCUCUUUUUCAAAGUUCCUUUUCAGCUCUGACACUUCUAGGAUUGUUUCCCCCUUUGUUUCUACUUUUCCUCCAAGGUAUACAGCCUUCCUGGAUCUACUCCCCCUUUUCCUCGCCCCCGCACCAAGCUCUUUAUACUCAUCUCUUUAUUAUCCUGAGUGAUUUGGCUUUGCUCCAGCUCUUGUUUAUAAAUGUACAUUCCCAACUCUAUCCAAGGGUUCAACAAAACAAAGUGUCCUUCUAUUUUGAGAUUCCAUUCUUGCUUAGUGCUAUCAUUUUUAGCUUGAAUAUUUCUCGUGGAGUCUCACCUCUCAUCCCAAGUAGCUUGUUAAAAUAUUUCUUGAAAAAUAUGGUGCUACAAUCCUAGAGAAAUUGUUCUACCAGCUGCUAAGACAGUAAGCCUUUCGUCCUUUUGUCACCUGUGUUUCGGCUAUACUGGCUUCCCUGUAGUUCUUAUUAUAGCUUUUCUUGUUCUCUCCUACUAUGUUUUUUUUUUUUUUUUUUAAGCUGCCAAAUCACCUGAGAUACUUUAGUAUCAUUUACCUUAAAAAUUUUUUGGCUGACUAAUAAAUAUACCUAAAGUUAUAAUAUAUUUAUGUCGCCUUGCAAAAAUUCAUCUUCAGCAUUAAGAUGGAUGACGGACUGUGUUUAUAAAUGAAACCGAUGUUAGAUGGAG